rnacentral:rRNA from 1 species
AACAUCGACAUUUCGAACGCACAUUGCGGUCCACGGAUACAAUUCCCGGACCACGCCUGGCUGAGGGUCGUUUAUAAUAUAAAAACUGCUUAUCUUACUUUCGUAAAGAAUUUAAGAUUUAGCGAAAUAAUGAACGUUCAUUAAAACAUUUUUAUAAAUGAUAAAUUUAAUGUCGUUUGAAAUAAGUUGAAUUGCUUAUUAGAAAAUAAUAAUAAAAUACAAUUGACGACAAGUCACAUGAACUCUCGUGCAAUCUUUUGAACGAUAUAUCCACGUAUCAAUAUAUAAAGACAUAAUUUAUAUUUGAUUGUGAAUAUUGUUUGGUUGUUGUCGUUGUGUCAAUGAGUAAGUUUAAUCAUACUUCGACCGACUUCAAUAAAUUUUAAAACCAUUCAACACAAUGAAAUUUUGAACGUUUGUCUAUUUGAUUACAAAUAAGUGGUGUUGCUAUGAGAUUGACUUUGUUGUUUAAAUAGUAUUUUUAUUUUCUUCUAUAUGACGACCUCAGAUUAGGCGAGAC